GCAUUGGCGAAUCUUCCGACGCCUGGUAGAGCUCUGACCGAAGAUUGGUAUGUUGAAUGCAUCGACUUCAAAGAUCCGGACAAGGACAAAAUCGGAAAAUACGUAUUCUUCAUUAAACAUCCGAUCGAAGGAUAUAUUAUCAUCAUGAAGUUCGGAAAAGACCGGAAGGGCAAGUUCGUCUUUCCAUAUGGCGAUUGGGAGUUAUGGAUGACCAUAUCUGAUAACUAUGACGCUUCCCGUGACAUCUUCAUCGAUCAUAUAACGACCUCGCUGCCGACUAAGGGCGAGUACGCCACCUGGGAGCUGAAAAAGGACGUGCCUCGGGCCAUGGGCGAGGGCGACCAGCCGCGACUGAGCCAGUUGC